UAAUACAUGCAAGUCGAGCGGACAGAAGGGAGNNUGCUCCCGGAUGUUAGCGGCGGACGGGUGAGUAACACGUGGGUAACCUGCCUGUAAGACUGGGAUAACUCCGGGAAACCGGAGCUAAUACCGGAUAGUUCCUUGAACCGCAUGGUUCAAGGAUGAAAGACGGUUUCGGCUGUCACUUACAGAUGGACCCGCGGCGCAUUAGCUAGUUGGUGGGGUAAUGGCUCACCAAGGCGACGAUGCGUAGCCGACCUGAGAGGGUGAUCGGCCACACUGGGACUGAGACACGGCCCAGACUCCUACGGGAGGCAGCAGUAGGGAAUCUUCCGCAAUGGACGAAAGUCUGACGGAGCAACGCCGCGUGAGUGAUGAAGGUUUUCGGAUCGUAAAGCUCUGUUGUUAGGGAAGAACAAGUGCGAGAGUAACUGCUCGCACCUUGACGGUACCUAACCAGAAAGCCACGGCUAACUACGUGCCAGCAGCCGCGGUAAUACGUAGGUGGCAAGCGUUGUCCGGAAUUAUUGGGCGUAAAGGGCUCGCAGGCGGUUUCUUAAGUCUGAUGUGAAAGCCCCCGGCUCAACCGGGGAGGGUCAUUGGAAACUGGGAAACUUGAGUGCAGAAGAGGAGAGUGGAAUUCCACGUGUAGCGGUGAAAUGCGUAGAGAUGUGGAGGAACACCAGUGGCGAAGGCGACUCUCUGGUCUGUAACUGACGCUGAGGAGCGAAAGCGUGGGGAGCGAACAGGAUUAGAUACCCUGGUAGUCCACGCCGUAAACGAUGAGUGCUAAGUGUUAGGGGGUUUCCGCCCCUUAGUGCUGCAGCUAACGCAUUAAGCACUCCGCCUGGGGAGUACGGUCGCAAGACUGAAACUCAAAGGAAUUGACGGGGGCCCGCACAAGCGGUGGAGCAUGUGGUUUAAUUCGAAGCAACGCGAAGAACCUUACCAGGUCUUGACAUCCUCUGACAACCCUAGAGAUAGGGCUUUCCCUUCGGGGACAGAGUGACAGGUGGUGCAUGGUUGUCGUCAGCUCGUGUCGUGAGAUGUUGGGUUAAGUCCCGCAACGAGCGCAACCCUUGAUCUUAGUUGCCAGCAUUNAGUUGGGCACUCUAAGGUGACUGCCGGUGACAAACCGGAGGAAGGUGGGGAUGACGUCAAAUCAUCAUGCCCCUUAUGACCUGGGCUACACACGUGCUACAAUGGACAGAACAAAGGGCUGCAAGACCGCAAGGUUUAGCCAAUCCCAUAAAUCUGUUCUCAGUUCGGAUCGCAGUCUGCAACUCGACUGCNUGAAGCUGGAAUCGCUAGUAAUCGCC
rnacentral:rRNA from 1 species